rnacentral:tRNA from 1 species
GGAGCCGUGCCUGAACAAAGGGCCACUUUGAUAGAGUGAAUUACGGGGGUUAAAGUCCCCCCGGCUCCU